CCACGGGGGGCAGCAGUAGGGAGUUUUCGGCAAUGGGGGGAACCCUGACCGAGCAACGCCGCGUGAACGAAGAAGGUCUUCGGAUUGUAAAGUUCUGUUGUAGGGGAAUAAAGGUCGGAAGAAGAGAAUGUUUCCGAUUUGAAGGUACCCUGCCAGAAAGCCACGGCUAACUACGUGCCAGCAGCCGCGGUAAUACGUAGGUGGCAAGCGUUAUCCGGAAUUAUUGGGCGUAAAGAGUGAGCAGGCGGCCUUUUAAGUCUGAAGUCAAAUGCAGUGGCUCAACCACUGUCCGCUUUGGAAACUGAGAGGCUAGAGUACGAGAGAGGUAUAUGGAAUUCCAUGUGGAGCGGUGAAAUGCGUAGAUAUAUGGAGGAACACCAGUGGCGAAGGCGAUAUACUGGAUCGAUACUGACGCUCAGUCACGAAAGCGUGGGUAGCAAAUAGGAUUAGAUACCCUAGUAGUCCACGCCGUAAACGCUGAGAACUAAGUGUUGGGGUGAAACCCAGCGCUGAAGCUAACGCAUUAAGUUCUCCGCCUGAGAAGUACGGUCGCAAGACUGAAACUUAAAGGAAUUGACGGGGGCCCGCACAAGCAGUGGAGCAUGUGGUUUAAUUCGAUGAUACGCGAAGAACCUUACCAGGGCUUGACAUAGUUCUAAGACUCUAGAAAUAGAGGGAUAUACAGAACAUACAGGUGGUGCAUGGUUGUCGUCAGCUCGUGUCGUGAGAUGUUAGGUUAAGUCCUCCAACGAGCGCAACCCUUGUCCUUAGUUACCAUCAUUAAGUUGGGGACUUUAAGGAGACUGCCGGUGUAAGCCGG
rnacentral:rRNA from 1 species